rnacentral:rRNA from 1 species
UACGUAGGGUGCGAGCGUUAAUCGGAAUUACUGGGCGUAAAGCGUGCGCAGGCGGUUCGCUAAGUCAGAUGUGAAAUCCCCGGGCUUAACCUGGGAACUGCAUUUGUGACUGGCGGGCUAGAGUAUGGCAGAGGGGGGUAGAAUUCCACGUGUAGCAGUGAAAUGCGUAGAGAUGUGGAGGAAUACCGAUGGCGAAGGCAGCCCCCUGGGCCAAUACUGACGCUCAUGCACGAAAGCGUGGGGAGCAAACAGG